GAGGCCUAACACAUGCAAGCCGAGCGGUAGAGAUUCUUCGGAAUCUUGAGAGCGGCGUACGGGUGCGGAACACGUGUGCAACCUGCCUUUAUCUGGGGGAUAGCCUUUCGAAAGGAAGAUUAAUACCCCAUAACAUAUUGAGUGGCAUCACUUAAUAUUGAAAACUCCGGUGGAUAGAGAUGGGCACGCGCAAGAUUAGAUAGUUGGUGAGGUAACGGCUCACCAAGUCAGUGAUCUUUAGGGGGCCUGAGAGGGUGAUCCCCCACACUGGUACUGAGACACGGACCAGACUCCUACGGGAGGCAGCAGUGAGGAAUAUUGGACAAUGGGUGAGAGCCUGAUCCAGCCAUCCCGCGUGAAGGACGACGGCCCUAUGGGUUGUAAACUUCUUUUGUAUAGGGAUAAACCUUUCCACGUGUGGAAAGCUGAAGGUACUAUACGAAUAAGCACCGGCUAACUCCGUGCCAGCAGCCGCGGUAAUACGGAGGGUGCAAGCGUUAUCCGGAUUUAUUGGGUUUAAAGGGUCCGUAGGCGGGCUCGUAAGUCAGUGGUGAAAUCUCAUAGCUUAACUAUGAAACUGCCAUUGAUACUGCGAGCCUUGAGUAAGGUAGAGGUAGCUGGAAUAAGUAGUGUAGCGGUGAAAUGCAUAGAUAUUACUUAGAACACCAAUUGCGAAGGCAGGUUACCAUGUCUUAACUGACGCUGAUGGACGAAAGCGUGGGGAGCGAACAGGAUUAGAUACCCUGGUAGUCCACGCCGUAAACGAUGCUAACUCGUUUUU
rnacentral:rRNA from 1 species